GUGCUCGCUUCGGCAGCACAUAUACUAAAAUUGGAACGAUACAGAGAUUAGCAUGGGCCCUGCACAAGGAUGACACAUAAAAGUUGGGUGGGGAGAGACUGGCAC